rnacentral:rRNA from 2 species
UAUCUCUUGACGUUAGCAACAGAAGAAGCACCGGCUAACUCCGUGCCAGCAGCCGCGGUAAUACGGAGGGUGCGAGCGUUAAUCGGAAUUACUGGGCGUAAAGCGCAUGCAGGUGGUUCAUUAAGUCAGAUGUGAAAGCCCGGGGCUCAACCUCGGAACUGCAUUUGAAACUGGUGAACUAGAGUACUGUAGAGGGGGGUAGAAUUUCAGGUGUAGCGGUGAAAUGCGUAGAGAUCUGAAGGAAUACCAGUGGCGAAGGCGGCCCCCUGGACAGAUACUGACACUCAGAUGCGAAAGCGUGGGGAGCAAACAGGAUUAGAUACCCUGGUAGUCCACGCCGUAAACGAUGUCUACUUGGAGGUUGUGGCCUUGAGCCGUGGCUUUCGGAGCUAACGCGUUAAGUAGACCGCCUGGGGAGUACGGUCGCAAGAUUAAAACUCAAAUGAAUUGACGGGGGCCCGCACAAGCGGUGGAGCAUGUGGUUUAAUUCGAUGCAACGCGAAGAACCUUACCUACUCUUGACAUCCAGAGAAUCCAGCGGAGACGCAGGAGUGCCUUCGGGAGCUCUGAGACAGGUGCUGCAUGGCUGUCGUCAGCUCGUGUUGUGAAAUGUUGGGUUAAGUCCCGCAACGAGCGCAACCCUUAUCCUUGUUUGCCAGC